GUCGAACGGUAACAUUUCUAGCUUGCUAGAAGAUGACGAGUGGCGGACGGGUGAGUAAUGCUUGGGAACUUGCCUUUGCGAGGGGGAUAACAGUUGGAAACGACUGCUAAUACCGCAUAAUGUUCUACGGACUCGGUCCGAAGGACCAAACGGGGCUUCGGCUCCGGCGCAAAGAGAGGCCCAAGUGAGAUUAGCUAGUUGGUAAGGUAACGGCUUACCAAGGCGACGAUCUCUAGCUGUUCUGAGAGGAAGAUCAGCCACACUGGGACUGAGACACGGCCCAGACUCCUACGGGAGGCAGCAGUGGGGAAUAUUGCACAAUGGGGGAAACCCUGAUGCAGCCAUGCCGCGUGUGUGAAGAAGGCCUUCGGGUUGUAAAGCACUUUCAGUUGUGAGGAAAAGUUAGUAGUUAAUACCUGCUAGCCGUGACGUUAACAACAGAAGAAGCACCGGCUAACUCCGUGCCAGCAGCCGCGGUAAUACGGAGGGUGCGAGCGUUAAUCGGAAUUACUGGGCGUAAAGCGCACGCAGGCGGUUUGUUAAGCUAGAUGUGAAAGCCCCGGGCUCAACCUGGGAUGGUCAUUUAGAACUGGCAGACUAGAGUCUUGGAGAGGGGAGUGGAAUUCCAGGUGUAGCGGUGAAAUGCGUAGAUAUCUGGAGGAACAUCAGUGGCGAAGGCGACUCCCUGGCCAAAGACUGACGCUCAUGUGCGAAAGUGUGGGUAGCGAACAGGAUUAGAUACCCUGGUAGUCCACACCGUAAACGCUGUCUACUAGCUGUGU
rnacentral:rRNA from 1 species